CGCACAUGUAUUGACAAUUUACGAAAACCUUAUCAUCUCCUUCUCCUUCUCCUUAGCUCUCUUGUCCACUCUUCAUAGCGGCAAAGGAACGACUGUCGGGUAGUCUGCAGCUUCACAAACCUCGUGACGUCGAGAGAGUCGAAGCUCCUACGCCAAUCUCUACUCGGAUUCGCAAAGUAUUCAUGCUCUCUCUCCUACAAGAUAUGUCAUUCUACGGCUAAUCUUUCUUGUCGUAGUUGAUUCCGUGGUUCUCGAAUGCUGCCAUAGGAUUCUAUGGUCGGUCUGCAACCCCUUAGCUAAUUUUCUACUUAAGAUUUAGUUCUUAAAAUCGUUGACUAAGGCAUGCUACUUAUACUACGAAGUUGGUAUUGGGAGUUCGUUUUCUUUGGGUGGAGAGAGGUGAGAACAAGUCUGCAAUGAGCUCCUUUGCUCCUUUGCUCAUUCUUCUUGUCCUUUUUCCCUUGAUUUGCACAGGAUAAUCAUGAUGAACAUUUUUACUUGUAGUUAUGAUGAUUUCAGAAUGAUCCUUCCUUUCUAUUCCAAAUUCGUUUUCUCUUCCUUGCUGAUUAUGUAACAUGAAUAUCAGACUGGUGACAUUCCUGCUCUCUCA